GCUGCAGCCUCACCACGACCGUAUGCAUGCCAGGAAUAUUAGUCACUCCAUAAUAUGUGGAGCUGAAAGGCCAGGGAUCAGCACAGGGAGAGGUGGACAAAUUAAUGGGACGAAGGGGUUGAGGGAGCAGAAUGUUUCUGAUCUCACCAGCUCAAAGACUGAUCAGAAAGAUGGCAAGAAAAGCAAAGAAGAUGUCACUGCUACUCCAAAAAAGACUGGUUCUACCGAUUGAAAACAUAUUAUCGACAAUUUCUGAUAAUCCGUCUUCUAAUAAAGAACCGACGUGCUAUGCAAAGAAGAACUGGGAUAUAUAUAACAUUCUAAAAUAGCUAGCUUUUUAAUAAAGAGAGUAGCUUGUGAGUAAGAUGCAUAAGUCUUCCUUCGAUCCGGUCUCAACGCGAAGCUCAAAGAUGUCUGAGAAGGAUAUGGCAAUGAAUGGUAGAAAGCAUAUUGUAUACAUAACUGUAUGUUUAAUGGUUGCUAGCUAGCGAGCUAGCUGCGAUCAUGAUGAAUCUAUGUAGUGUUCUAUAUAUUCUUCUUUCUUA